rnacentral:misc_RNA from 1 species
UCGAACUUGUAGAGUCUGGGAGAUCAGUGAAGUGUGAGGAUUGUGCUGGCUAAGCAAGUGCACGUCUGAAUCGCUUUCUGGUCGACCUUUCUCUUUCUCUCUCACACUUGUGCACCUAUUGUAGGUCCUCGAAAGGGGAUCUAUGUUUUUCUACAACACCCAUCGUAUGUCUACAGAAUGUUAUCAAAGGUCUUACCGAAAAGAGGGUUAGUUCCCUCCUAAUAGGAGGACUUGCGAAUUUUAUA